AUGUCUCGCGCGGUCACGCUCCACAUUGAUUCAGAGGGAUAUUCCCUGCUCAGGAAGAAUAUUCCUUUUCUUCCUUUUUUACUUUUUUUUGCUAAUGGACACCCUUCUUUCUUAUUUAGAGCAACCCAAAUGGACGGCGAUUUCGUCCGCUUUUUGUCCGUUUGGGUCGGCCAGACGGACACGGAUGCCCGCUUCCGCAUUUGGGUCGGCGCGUGCGCCCAACGCUGGCCUGAGACCCAUUUUGACGCCGCCAAAAAAAAUGAAUGCACGCAUAAUAAAAAAAAAGAAAAACAACAUUAA
rnacentral:rRNA from 1 species